rnacentral:rRNA from 1 species
UACAGAGGGGGCAAGCGUUAUUCGGAAUUAUUGGGCGUAAAGGGCGCGUAGGCGGCCUGACAAGUGGAAGGUGAAAUCCCUCGGCUUAACCGAGGAACUGCCCUCCAAACUGUUUGGCUUGAGACCGGGAGAGGUGAGUGGAAUUCCCAGUGUAGCGGUGAAAUGCGUAGAUAUUGGGAGGAACACCAGUGGCGAAGGCGGCCAACUGGACCACAACUGACGCUGAGGCGCGAAAGCGUGGGGAGCAAACAGG